rnacentral:rRNA from 1 species
UUCCGUAGGUGAACCUGCGGAAGGAUCAUUACCGUAGGGGGCUUUUGCCCCCGAUAACCCAUAACCCUUGUCUAUGAGCACCCUCGUUUCCUCGGCAGGUCCGCCUGCCAAUGGGGACAACACCAAACCUUUUUGUAGUAGUAGUAACCGUAAACAAACAAAAAAUCAAAACUUUCAACAACGGAUCUCUUGGUUCUGGCAUCGAUGAAGAACGCAGCGAAAUGCGAUAAGUAGUGUGAAUUGCAGAAUUCAGUGAAUCAUCGAAUCUUUGAACGCACAUUGCGCCCUGUGGUAUUCCGCAGGGCAUGCCUGUUCGAGCGUCAUUCAACCUCCUCAAGCCCUGCUUGGUGUUGGGCGUUUGUCCCGCCUCUCUGGCGCGGACUCGCCUUAAAAACAUUGGCAGCCGUCACCCUGGCUUCGAGCGCAGCACAUUCGCGCCCGGCACCUAAGUGGCGGCUCCCAGAAGCCACCCCCUCGGUUGACCUCGGAUCAGGUAGGGAUACCCGCUGAACUUAAGCAUAUCAAUAAGCGGAGGAA